AUUGAACGCUGGCGGCAGGCUUAACACAUGCAAGUCAAACGAGGGGCGGACGGGGGAGAAAUGUCUGGAAAACUGCCUGCUGGAGGGGGAAAACAACGGGAACCGGUGGCUAAUACGGAAUACAAUCGGAGGGGCCAGGAUGGGAUUAGCUGGUAGGUGGGGUAAAGGCUCACCUAGGCGACGAUCCCUAGCUGGUCUGAGAGGAUGACCAGCCACACUGGAACUGAGACACGGUCCAGACUCCUACGGGAGGCAGCAGUGGGGAAUAUUGCACAAUGGGCGCAAGCCUGAUGCAGCCAUGCCGCGUGUAUGAAGAAGGCCUUCGGGUUGUAAAGUACUUUCAGCGGGGAGGCGUUACCCGCAGAAGAAGCACCGGCUAACUCCGUGCCAGCAGCCGCGGUAAUUC
rnacentral:rRNA from 1 species